UAAUAAGGGCAUUUGGUGGAUGCCUUGGCGUCAAGAGGCGAUGAAAGACGUGGCACUCUGCGAUAAGCUACGGUGAGCCGAGAGCAGGCUUUGACCCGUAGAUUUCUGAAUGGGGAAACCCCACCCAAUAGGGUGAUCCUGUCGUGAAUACAUAGCGGCAGGAGGCGAACCCGGUGAACUGAAACAUCUCAGUAACCGGAGGAAAGGACAUCAACCGAGACUCUGCUAGUAGCGGCGAG
rnacentral:rRNA from 1 species